rnacentral:lncRNA from 1 species
ACCAUCUCCUUCUUCAAGUGAGGCUGAUCAUCAUCCCGGCGACGAUUCCGGCAAGAUCAUGAAGAAAAGAGAAGCUGGCGAUGGAGGAGAAGAUGAUCAACCUUCGCAGAAAGUGUAAGUUUCACAUAAGUUUCGAAAAAAAUAAAGAUAGACAUAUUUAGUAUUCACAUGAAUCAUGAUCAAACUUAGCUAGUUUAUUUGUUUUUAUUACUAACAUAAAAUCUUAAUUAGGUGAAAAAUUAAUAAAAUACAUUUCUUGUUUUUUUUUCCCACUUUCAGGUCUAAAUCAAGAAUCGUUUUCUUGAAAAUGAUUUUCUUGAAAUCAAGUUUUUCACUUUAAUAUUGAUUUCAAUUUCUUUUACACGAAACAAAAAAUAUAGAGUUUGCAUAUCAUCAAAUGACAUCUUUGACAACACCAUCGAGAUUUAAAUUUUGAUGAGAAUAUACAUAUUGCAGUUGUUAAUAUUUUUUUAUUAUUAAUAUGUAUAGGUAGAAUUAAAGUUUGAUAUCAUAAUAAUUGAAAGAAUGACAACUAAAAUUAUUUCAUUCAUAUUUUUCCGUAAUACAUAAUCUAAUAGUACUGAUUCAUUGGGACUCUAUUCUGCUAUGUGUCUGAAAGAUUGUAUAUUCAUUUUUUCGUACCUAUAACAUAAUUAUUGAUGCAUAAAUCUUAUCCCUAAAAGAAACCACUUAAACAAAACAACGUGUCCCAUUUAUCACGUUAAGUCAUAACACAAUCAUUUGAUGCCUUAAGCAUUAUUAAAUGUAGUUCCAAUGAAUCAAAGUCAAAUGUACGGUACGGUGCCAUAAACAAGAGAUAUAUGGUCCAGGCCCUAAUUAAGGAUUUUUAUUAUAUGGUUUUCAGAGUUAAGACGAAGAAGAAAGAGGAGAAGAAAAAAGAGCCACGAGUCUCGUUCAUGACUAAGACCGAAGUUGAUCACCUCGAAGACGGCUAUCGUUGGAGAAAGUACGGCCAAAAAGCAGUCAAAAACAGUCCUUAUCCUAGGUAAUUUUAAUUUAUAUCGCGCACUAUAAUAUAUACUUUAUAUCAUAAAAUAAAUAAAGGGUUUAAUUAGUUUAUUAUUACAUACUAAAAAAUAUAGAUAAGUAUUACAAAAUGUCUAGUUUUGUGUAAGUUUUUUGGUUUUUGAAUUCUUGAUCAUUGUUUUUCACUCAAACUAAUUUCUAAAUAAAGGGUUUAAUUAGUUUGUUAUUACAUACUAAAAAAUAUAGACAAGUAUUACAAAAUGUCUAGUUUUGAGUAAGUUUUUUGGCUUUUGAAUUCUUGAUUAUCAUUUUUCAAUCAAACUACUUUCUUUUUACGUUUUUAGUUUAUUAUAUUUGAAGGAAAAAAAAAACUAGACCAACUUAAUUUUGUUUGUUUAUUUUUCUUAUGAAGAUUCCAUCUAAGGCCUAAGCAUUUCUUGUAAUCUUGGAUUUUAUAUUUACUUGUUUAUUUUUCUAAAAAAUUAUAAUGUUUAUAAAGAUUGAAGUUUUCUUAAACUUUUAUGAUGAUUUUUCAGACUAACAUAAAUAUAUUUUCAUUCAAUUUAAUUUUUCUUCUAUUCAUUUUUUAUCAUUUCAAGAUCGACAUCCACAAGAAACAUUGGUCAAUUUCCUCUAUUUACACUCAUUAUGUUUUGGAUUCUGACAUUGUUUGAAAAGUCUUAUUAAUUUUGUUUAUAUAUGACAAAGGAAGAAAUUUUAAAAAUACAAUUUUGUAACUGACAUUACAAGUCGUCACAUGCAAAACACAAUGUAUACUAUAAUGUCAAUUACGUGAACAGGAGUUACUAUAGAUGCACGACGCAGAAGUGCAACGUGAAGAAGAGAGUGGAGAGAUCUUACCAAGAUCCAACGGUCGUGAUCACAACUUACGAGAGUCAGCACAACCACCCUAUCCCGACCAAUCGCCGCACGGCAAUGUUCUCCGGAACCACCGCAACUGAUUAU